GAGCAAAUCCGCCAGCUGGCUCAAGCUGUUGAGAUGCUUUGCCGGUAAGUAGGGCGCCUGGUUGUGUCCGCUUUGCAGGUCUUUCUUGACGUGGGCCUCCUGUAGGCUGGCGAGGAGAUGUUGGACUUGGAGCACCAUGCUCAGCCGCCGCCUCUCCUCCUCCAUCCUUACCAGCUGCUCCCUCUUGACCGCCUUCUUCUGUGACUUCAGCAACUUUUUUUAGCGGGGCGAGUGGGGGGUGGGGGGGGGGGGAGACACUUCAUUUUUAAUGGACAGAGACAAUAUUUAAGUAAACAUAAUAGCAAACUAACGACUCAACUCUUACGUUUUGAGUUAAGCUGUCCAGGAUUUUGUGGAGCUCCUUGGCAAACUCCAGGUUAUGCACCACCUGCUCGUAUUUAUCAGUCGCAGCCUGACAACAAAAAAAACGACUCCGUCAUGGUCACGUCAGACGAUUGAGUGGCAUUUUGAAAAUAUGGGCUCACCAUUUGGUCUUUAUUUAGAGUCUCACCAAAGGUCAGGCAUCUCUUAUAGUGUUCCAGUUUCAGCUUCAGGAAAAAAAAAAAAAAACUCAGCCAUAUUUGCGACCACACGCCCCUUUUGCCACAUUUUCAUGAUCCUACCUUCUUUUUCUCCAAGUUGCGAACCUUAUGUUUGAGGCAGAUAAGUCCAUCUUCUAUGUAGGUUUCAUACCCGUGAUAGGCGGUGGGGAAGUCGAAGCUCGGCGGGGCCCCCAGGCUGGCAGCAAGUGUGACACCCACCUUGGGGGAAGGAGGAAGCUGCACCAUUGCCAAGCUCCUACAAGAGGGAGAAAAUGUAUUUGCUUGUUUCUAUCUAGAGGUGCAACCGCCCAUGAUCAAAUUGGUCGAUCAUUUGUUUAGAUACUUUUGAUUGAAAAGUUUUCCAGAAUUUCAGUGUCACUGCUAUGUAAAUGUUUCAUUUAGCUU